GAUGAACGCUGGCGGCGUGCCUAAUACAUGCAAGUAGAACGCUGAAGGAGGAGCUUGCUCUUCUGGAUGAGUUGCGAACGGGUGAGUAACGCGUAGGUAACCUGCCUGGUAGCGGGGGAUAACUAUUGGAAACGAUAGCUAAUACCGCAUGACAACAGUUAUUGCAUGAUAACUGUUUAAAAGGGGCAACUGCUCCACUACCAGAUGGACCUGCGUUGUAUUAGCUAGUUGGUGAGGUAACGGCUCACCAAGGCGACGAUACAUAGCCGACCUGAGAGGGUGAUCGGCCACACUGGGACUGAGACACGGCCCAGACUCCUACGGGAGGCAGCAGUAGGGAAUCUUCGGCAAUGGACGGAAGUCUGACCGAGCAACGCCGCGUGAGUGAAGAAGGUUUUCGGAUCGUAAAACUCUGUUGUAAGAGAAGAACGAGUGUGAGAGUGGAAAGUUCACACUGUGACGGUAUCUUACCAGAAAGGGACGGCUAACUACGUG
rnacentral:rRNA from 1 species